rnacentral:misc_RNA from 1 species
GAUCAAGAACGCAGCGAAAUGCGAUAAGUAAUGUGAAUUGCAGAAUUCAGUGAAUCAUCGAAUCUUUGAACGCACAUUGCGCCCUCUGGUAUUCCGGGGGGCAUGCCUGUUCGAGCGUCAUUACAACCCUCAAGCUUUGCUUGGUAUUGGACAUUGCCAGUUUCUGGCAGGUCUUAAAAUCAGUGGCGGUGCCAUUUGGCUUCAAGCGUAGUAAUUCUUCUCGCUUUGGAGAUCCAGGUGGUUACUUGCCAAUAACCCCCAAUUUUUUCAGGUUGACCUCGGAUCAGGUAGGGAUACCCGCUGAACUUAAGCAUAUCAAUAAGCGGAGGA